UUUAUGGAGAGUUUGAUCCUGGCUCAGGAUGAACGCUGGCGGCGUGCCUAAUACAUGCAAGUCGAGCGAACGGACGAGAAGCUUGCUUCUCUGAUGUUAGCGGCGGACGGGUGAGUAACACGUGGAUAACCUACCUAUAAGACUGGGAUAACUUCGGGAAACCGGAGCUAAUACCGGAUAAUAUUUUGAACCGCAUGGUUCAAAAGUGAAAGACGGUCUUGCUGUCACUUAUAGAUGGAUCCGCGCUGCAUUAGCUAGUUGGUAAGGUAACGGCUUACCAAGGCAACGAUGCAUAGCCGACCUGAGAGGGUGAUCGGCCACACUGGAACUGAGACACGGUCCAGACUCCUACGGGAGGCAGCAGUAGGGAAUCUUCCGCAAUGGGCGAAAGCCUGACGGAGCAACGCCGCGUGAGUGAUGAAGGUCUUCGGAUCGUAAAACUCUGUUAUUAGGGAAGAACAUAUGUGUAAGUAACUGUGCACAUCUUGACGGUACCUAAUCAGAAAGCCACGGCUAACUACGUGCCAGCAGCCGCGGUAAUACGUAGGUGGCAAGCGUUAUCCGGAAUUAUUGGGCGUAAAGCGCGCGUAGGCGGUUUUUUAAGUCUGAUGUGAAAGCCCACGGCUCAACCGUGGAGGGUCAUUGGAAACUGGAAAACUUGAGUGCAGAAGAGGAAAGUGGAAUUCCAUGUGUAGCGGUGAAAUGCGCAGAGAUAUGGAGGAACACCAGUGGCGAAGGCGACUUUCUGGUCUGUAACUGACGCUGAUGUGCGAAAGCGUGGGGAUCAAACAGGAUUAGAUACCCUGGUAGUCCACGCCGUAAACGAUGAGUGCUAAGUGUUAGGGGGUUUCCGCCCCUUAGUGCUGCAGCUAACGCAUUAAGCACUCCGCCUGGGGAGUACGACCGCAAGGUUGAAACUCAAAGGAAUUGACGGGGACCCGCACAAGCGGUGGAGCAUGUGGUUUAAUUCGAAGCAACGCGAAGAACCUUACCAAAUCUUGACAUCCUUUGACAACUCUAGAGAUAGAGCCUUCCCCUUCGGGGGACAAAGUGACAGGUGGUGCAUGGUUGUCGUCAGCUCGUGUCGUGAGAUGUUGGGUUAAGUCCCGCAACGAGCGCAACCCUUAAGCUUAGUUGCCAUCAUUAAGUUGGGCACUCUAA
rnacentral:rRNA from 1 species